rnacentral:rRNA from 1 species
UGGGGAAUCUUGGACAAUGGGGGCAACCCUGAUCCAGCCAUGCCGCGUGAGUGAUGAAGGCCUUAGGGUCGUAAAGCUCUUUCGCCUGUGAAGAUAAUGACGGUAGCAGGUAAAGAAACCCCGGCUAACUCCGUGCCAGCAGCCGCGGUAAUACGGAGGGGGUUAGCGUUGUUCGGAAUUACUGGGCGUAAAGCGCACGUAGGCGGACCAGAAAGUUGGGGGUGAAAUCCCGGGGGCUCAACCCCGGAACUGCCUCCAAAACUAUUGGUCUAGAGUUCGAGAGAGGUGAGUGGAAUUCCAAGUGUAGAGGUGAAAUUCGUAGAUAUUUGGAGGAACACCAGUGGCGAAGGCGGCUCUCUGGGCCGACACCCGACGCUGAAGGGCAAAGCUAGGGGGAGCAAAACAGGAUUAGAUACCCCUGGUAGUCCUAGCCGUAAAACGUUGGGUACUAGGUGUGGCGGAUUCAUUGACAU